AUUACCCAAAUCGGACACAGGGAGGUAGUGACAAGAAAUAACAAUACGGGGCUUAAUGUCUUGUAAUUGGAAUGAUGGGAAUUUAAACCUCUUCCAGAGUAUCAAUUGGAGGGCAAGUCUGGUGCCAGCAGCCGCGGUAAUUCCAGCUCCAAUAGCGUAUAUUAAAAUUGUUGCAGUUAAAAAGCUCGUAGUUGAAUUUCUGCUGCAUCGUCGCAUCUCUUGCUGAGUGCUUCGUUUCGGCUUAUUUCGGAUUGAUUUUUUCUUUCCGGAUGAUUACUUUGAGAAAAUUAGAGUGCUCAAAGCAGGCUUUUGCCUUGAAUAGUUUAGCAUGGAAUAAUAAAGUAGGACUUUGGUUCUAUUUUGUUGGUUUUAGGUACCAAAGUAAUGGUUAAUAGGAACAGUUGGGGGCAUUCGUAUUUAA
rnacentral:rRNA from 1 species